UAUGCUGAAUUUUUGUGCUUAAUUUACAUGUGCAUACCAAAGUGAUACCGUGCAUGAUUUAAUUAAAAAUUACGGUGUGUGAAGCAUUGGAUCAGUAGGGAAACCCAAAAUUAUUAUCUUAGCGGACUCAGCGCCACUAUGCGGCAUCUCACGCGCAUCGCUACAGAGGGAUAUAGGCGUUAGCGGUCUUCCACUUCGUUGUCUAUGCUUUUAUAACCCUCUACUUAUCCAUCGUUUUUUAUCUGAACUACUGAGUUACUGGGAAAAACCGAUGAACAGGAAUUUCUGUUUCUCGUUCGAUUUCGGCACACAGAUCACCAACGGACGUUUGAAAGAAGCAAGUGUUGCACCCUGUAAUGAAAACUAUGACAUAAGCAGACGACAAAACGCGAUUCGUGUUUUCGUUUAACGACCGUUCAAAGUAAAAGGCAAUCUAAACAAAGCAAUGUACAGCCUCCGCGACUUCUCUCAGAAAGAAAAAGAGCUAAUGAAAUUCGCCGAAUUGUCUGGAAUCGUUAUGAAUCCCAGAAUUCUGAGCAUUUUCUAUUUCUCAGAAGCAUCAUUGAACUCCUUCAGGCAAACACUUCUCCAGCAUCUAUCAUACAAAUGUUGAAUGAAUUAUCAAUCUUUCGUGUUCAGGAGAAGACAAGGAGACAAAAGAUGCUAAAACAUUUGAGCGAAAAAUGAUUUUGUAGCAAAUGAACUUGUUUCUCUUCAAAUAUAUUUUUUAAAUUCCC